rfam:Sporomusa sphaeroides DSM 2875 SPSPH_contig000007, whole genome shotgun sequence.
UGAAAAGCUAUGAAAAGGAACAGUAGUCGCAACGUGAUUUCAGAAAGCUGUUGGUUGAUGCGAAACAGUAUGAGCAAUGCGGUGAACUCGCCUGGGAGCUUCCGGCUGAAAAUUGAGUAGGCUGUGACGGUAUCCACCGUUACCGGGAUAGGCAUGAAAUGUGCCGAUAAGAGUGUGUUACGCAUGAAGUAGAGUGGUACCGCGGAAGCUGUGAGCUUUCGUCUCUAUA